AUUGAGCGCUGGCGGCAGGCUUAACACAUGCAAGUCGAGCGGGGUGAUGGUGCUUGCACUAUCACUUAGCGGCGGACGGGUGAGCAAUGCUUAGGAAUCUGCCUAUUAGUGGGGGACAACAUCUCGAAAGGGAUGCUAAUACCGCAUACGUCCUACGGGAGAAAGCAGGGGAUCACUUGUGACCUUGCGCUAAUAGAUGAGCCUAAGUCGGAUUAGAUAGUUGGUGGGGUAAAGGCCUACCAAGGCGACGAUCUGUAGCGGGUCUGAGAGGAUGAUCCGCCACACUGGGACUGAGACACGGCCCAGACUCCUACGGGAGGCAGCAGUGGGGAAUAUUGGACAAUGGGGGGAACCCUGAUCCAGCCAUGCCGCGUGUGUGAAGAAGGCCUUAUGGUUGUAAAGCACUUUAAGCGAGGAGGAGGCUCUUUUGGUUAAUACCCAAGAUGAGUGGACGUUACUCGCAGAAUAAGCACCGGCUAACUCUGUGCCAGCCGCCGCAGUAA
rnacentral:rRNA from 1 species